UACAGAGGUCUCAAGCGUUGUUCGGAUUCAUUGGGCGUAAAGGGUGCGUAGGUGGCGCUGUAAGUCGGGUGUGAAAUUUCGGAGCUUAACUCCGAAACUGCAUUCGAUACUGCGGUGCUUGAGGACUGGAGAGGAGACUGGAAUUCAUGGUGUAGCAGUGAAAUGCGUAGAGAUCAUGAGGAAGACCAGUGGCGAAGGCGAGUCCCUGGACAACACCUGACACUGAGGCACGAAAGCUAGGGGAGCAAACAGG
rnacentral:rRNA from 1 species